AGUGAACGCUGGCGGUAGGCCUAACACAUGCAAGUCGAACGGCAGCACAGUAAGAGCUUGCUCUUACGGGUGGCGAGUGGCGGGGGUGUGAGAAAUACAUGAGUCUCUACAGUUUCGGGGGGGAACACGGAGGGAAUCAUACGCUAAUAGCAUAUAACAUCUGCGGGUGAGAGGAGGAGAGCUUGGCACCUUGCGAGAGUGAAUGAGCCGAUGUCGGAUUAGCUAGUUGGCGGGGUAAGGGCCCACCAAGGCGACGAUCCGUAGCUGGUCUGAGAGGAUGAUCAGCCACACUGGAACUGAGACACGGUCCAGACUCCUACGGGAGGCAGCAGUGGGGAAUAUUGGACAAUGGGCGCAAGCCUGAUCCAGCCAUACCGCGUGGGUGAAGAAGGCCUUCGGGUUGUAAAGCCCUUUUGUUGGGAAAGAAAACCUUCAGGCUAAUACCCUGGUGUGCUGACGGUACCCAAAGAAUAAGCACCGGCUAACUUCGUG
rnacentral:rRNA from 1 species